UACGGGGGGGGCAAGCGUUGUUCGGAUUUAUUGGGCGUAAAGAGCGUGUAGGCGGCCAGACAGGUCCGUUGUGAAAACUCGAGGCUCAACCUCGAGAUGUCGAUGGAAACCGUCUGGCUAGAGUCCGGAAGAGGAGUGUGGAAUUCCUGGUGUAGCGGUGAAAUGCGCAGAUAUCAGGAAGAACACCUAUGGCGAAGGCAGCACUCUGGGACGGUACUGACGCUGAGACGCGAAAGCGUGGGGAGCGAACAGG
rnacentral:rRNA from 1 species